rnacentral:rRNA from 1 species
CCAGGUGAUCAUACCGGCAGGGUCACACCCGUUCCCAUUCCGAACACGGCCGUUAAGCCUGCCAGGGCCGAUGAUAGUCUAACAGCGAAAGUAGGUCGUUGCCUGGA